rnacentral:rRNA from 1 species
AUGAGGACAACCAGCAUCCUCCUUGUCGUUGUUCUCAUGGUCAUGUAUGCUAUCAAUGCAUCAGCUACGCGUUGUGGAGAUUCGAUGGGACUUCAAUUGUGGCACACGACAAUAGUGAAUGGGUGGGAGCCAAUCGUCAACAUAAAUGAUGAGCACAUCCAGGAGCUCAGUAGCUGGGCGGUGUUGGAGUUCAACAAGCACGUGAACUGCACAGUCAAGUUCAACAAGGUGUUGAGCGGCCGACAACAACUCGUAUCCGGCAUGAACUAUGAGCUCAUCAUUGAUGUGACACACUUUGGUGGGGAAGAUGGUAACUACAAGGCUGAGCUUUAUGAGCAGGAGUUGACGAAAAAACGCCAGCUCCUCUCCUUUACCAAAGUGAAAUAG